GACGAACGCUGGCGGCGUGCUUAACACAUGCAAGUCGAACGGAAAGGCCCUGCUUUUGUGGGGUGCUCGAGUGGCGAACGGGUGAGUAACACGUGAGUAACCUGCCCUUGACUUUGGGAUAACUUCAGGAAACUGGGGCUAAUACCGGAUAGGAGCUCCUGCUGCAUGGUGGGGGUUGGAAAGUUUCGGCGGUUGGGGAUGGACUCGCGGCUUAUCAGCUUGUUGGUGGGGUAGUGGCUUACCAAGGCUUUGACGGGUAGCCGGCCUGAGAGGGUGACCGGCCACAUUGGGACUGAGAUACGGCCCAGACUCCUACGGGAGGCAGCAGUGGGGAAUAUUGCACAAUGGGCGGAAGCCUGAUGCAGCAACGCCGCGUGCGGGAUGACGGCCUUCGGGUUGUAAACCGCUUUCGCCUGUGACGAAGCGUGAGUGACGGUAAUGGGUAAAGAAGCACCGGCUAACUACGUGCCAGCAGCCGCGGUGAUACGUAGGGUGCGAGCGUUGUCCGGAUUUAUUGGGCGUAAAGGGCUCGUAGGUGGUUGAUCGCGUCGGAAGUGUAAUCUUGGGGCUUAACCCUGAGCGUGCUUUCGAUACGGGUUGACUUGAGGAAGGUAGGGGAGAAUGGAAUUCCUGGUGGAGCGGUGGAAUGCGCAGAUAUCAGGAGGAACACCAGUGGCGAAGGCGGUUCUCUGGGCCUUUCCUGACGCUGAGGAGCGAAAGCGUGGGGAGCGAACAGGCUUAGAUACCCUGGUAGUCCACGCUGUAAACGGUGGGUACUAGGUGUGGGGUCCAUUCCACGGGUUCCGUGCCGUAGCUAACGCUUUAAGUACCCCGCCUGGGGAGUACGGCCGCAAGGCUAAAACUCAAAGGAAUUGACGGGGCCCCGCACAAGCGGCGGAGCAUGCGGAUUAAUUCGAUGCAACGCGUAGAACCUUACCUGGGUUUGACAUGGAUCGGGAGUGCUCAGAGAUGGGUGUGCCUCUUUUGGGGUCGGUUCACAGGUGGUGCAUGGCUGUCGUCAGCUCGUGUCGUGAGAUGUUGGGUUAAGUCCCGCAACGAGCGCAACCCUUGUUCACUGUUGCCAGCACGUUAUGGUGGGGACUCAGUGGAGACCGCCGGGGUCAACUCGGAGGAAGGUGGGGAUGACGUCAAGUCAUCAUGCCCCUUAUGUCCAGGGCUUCACGCAUGCUACAAUGGCUGGUACAGAGAGUGGCGAGCCUGUGAGGGUGAGCGAAUCUCGGAAAGCCAGUCUCAGUUCGGAUUGGGGUCUGCAACCCGACCUCAUGAAGUCGGAGUCGCUAGUAAUCGCAGAUCAGCAACGCUGCGGUGAAUACGUUCCCGGG
rnacentral:rRNA from 1 species